AUAAUUCAGCGGAGGAAAAGAAAUCAAAUGAGAUUUCCCUAGUAACGGCGAGUGAAAAGGAAAAAGUCCGGCGCAAAGGUUCCCCAUCGAAAGGUGGGGAGCGGUGCUGCGUAAUGAUCUUAGUCACGAUUAUUCCAACCAGAACUGCAAGUCCCUUUGAAAAGGGCUCUUUACCCAGAGACGGUGCGAAGCCGGUAGCAGAGGCUGGUAUAUUGGAAUAUCGAUUACUGGCUUUGAUCGCGGAUAGAGUCAUAUUGCUUGAGAAUGCAAUACAAAUCAGG
rnacentral:rRNA from 1 species